AUUCACUUAUUUCUCAGGCCUGUCUCUCUCUGCGGUCAUUAUGAACAACUGUUCCAAUUCUCGAUUUUGUUAUGACAGUCGUCUGGCCACUUAACUCCUUAUUGGCUCAGUUCGAGAGCAGUGAACCUGAAGAUGUCAUAUUGGCAAGCAUAGUGGGAAUAAAGUCUGUCCUCCAAGUAUUCCCAGCACCUUUUUAGUACGCACGUCCUGGACCUCUCGGGGAAGUGAGAGUCCAGGAAUCGCUUUACCCGGCCACUGAAGCCCCUGUGGAGUUGAUCAGUGACAGUGCUUCUGAAACACUGCAGAGGAUUGUUUGGUAUGUCUCCCUGAUUCCAUCACUGGCUGAUGUGACGCUCUUCCCGGGAGCUUGUGACAUCUGGGCCAAUUCUGAGGUAUGUCGCGGAUUCCUGGCUCUGUUCUUUAUUGUAGCACACAUUUUCAUUUCAUUAUAUACAAGAAAAAUCAGAUUGCUGCUGCUUAGAUGCAUCUUGGAUCUAGGCUGUGUAAGCAGUUGAUGAACCAGAACUCUGGACUGAUCUCUUAACUAACUUAUUGGAGAGGUUUUUCCACUUUGGAAAGCGUAGUUGAAUUUAAAUGGAAAAAGAAUGGAAAUUAUGGUAGAAUGCAUCCUGGAAACUUUACAAUUUUGUGUUGGUUAGUGGAGAGCAUAAGAGACUUUAAUUGUACCCUGUAUGAGGCCUAUUUUUCAAGCUGUGUUUCAGUAGAUUUAUUAUUCUUGUGCCGGACCUUCAGUCUUCAGUGUUUUUUUCUGUAAACUGGUGUACUUAUUCACACGCAGUCUUGAACUGCUCAAGAAUUUAGUGCUGUUCCUUGCUACUGCCAUUGGCACAGUCCAAUAUUGAAGCUGGAAUAAUGUCAAACAAUGUUCACAUCUAUAUAGGCAUUGGAGAGUGGAGAAUUGAAUAGCUACUAAAAAUAACAUUGCUGAUAAAAGGAAAUAUUAAACCUAUUUUUUUUUACAUAGUGACUCAUUAAUGUUGUAGCAUUUGUAAAUCUAUUCUAUAAUUUCUCAUUAGGUUCAGUGAAAUUUUGUCAUUUUUCCUAGUAGCACUGGAUGAUAGUGUAGGAUUGGGUCCUUUAGUCCUCCGAGUUGAGAACACAAACUUCUCCAACUCCUCCAACUUCCCCAAAAAGAAGAGCAUCAACCCUACUCCUCCUUAUAGAAUGUACUGUACGUAAAUGACUGAUGACAACGGUAUCAUUAAAAGUUUAUGUGUAAAAUUGAAAUAUAAAAUAUAUAUACACUGAUAUUGACCCUGCAUUUGAAAAUGACCAUAGGCACUCUACUAGCCUGUUUAAGUAGCACUGAAAAAGCCGCAAAAGAAAUAAAAUAACCUUCCCUUCAUCAGCUGUCAAAUGUGUCAAUUUAAUGUGACAGGUGGGGAAGUGUGAUUAAGAGGUCUGUGGAUUCUUGUAAUUCUCUCUCUCUCUCUGUCUCCGUAAUAAUUCAUAAAUAAUUUAUCUCUUAGGUAAGGACAACUCCUCUCUCGUAGAACUGUAAUUAUGCUGAUAAGACACACAACUAAGAGUUGUAUUAGUCCAAAUAAAAAGCACACUUUGUUCAUGGAAAGGAAUUUCAGAGCAAAGACAGAGAUGGAAUAGAUAAAGAAUUUUAUUAAAACUAGGUUGAGAGGACUGCUAAAAAUAGAUCGGCCAGGAGGGGGAGAGAAGAGAGAGAGAGCAUAAAUGCAAUCUUCACACACACAUAUCUUUUUACCAAACAUAAUUUCUUUUUUUCAAUGGCAAUGUAUUGAGCUGACUUUUAAAUAAUUCACAGUAACUAAUUUCAUUUAAGAGCUCACUUAAUACAUUGGGAGUGUGAUUAGGGGCAUAUUUAGUGUAACAACUCUAGAAGUAAGCAGGCACCUAGUGUUUGGUUGAGUCUGCCUUGGCUGUCUACGUGAAAUCGUAUCCAGCUACUGUCAUCUCCGUUUGGGUUUAUGUUGCUUCCCUUGUGAAGAGAUCAUAGUUCUGGUCUUUUUAUUUCUUUCGUAAUAAUAAACUUGUAUUUAUGU